rnacentral:rRNA from 1 species
UGGGGAAUAUUGCACAAUGGGCGCAAGCCUGAUGCAGCCAUGCCGCGUGUAUGAAGAAGGCCUUCGGGUUGUAAAGUACUUUCAGUCGGGAGGAAGGCGGUAAGGUUAAUAACCUUAUCAAUUGACGUUACCGACAGAAGAAGCACCGGCUAACUCCGUGCCAGCAGCCGCGGUAAUACGGAGGGUGCAAGCGUUAAUCGGAAUUACUGGGCGUAAAGCGCACGCAGGCGGUUGAUUGAGUCAGAUGUGAAAUCCCCGGGCUUAACCCGGGAAUUGCAUCUGAUACUGGUCAGCUAGAGUCUUGUAGAGGGGGGUAGAAUUCCAUGUGUAGCGGUGAAAUGCGUAGAGAUGUGGAGGAAUACCGGUGGCGAAGGCGGCCCCCUGGACAAAGACUGACGCUCAGGUGCGAAAGCGUGGGGAGCAAACAGG